rnacentral:lncRNA from 1 species
ACCGCACGCGCACCGCUCCUCUCCUAGUUUUUUUUUUUGUUUUAAUUUGCCACAUGCAUCACGAUUCACGAAUUCAAUUCGUGGCAUACAUUACAAUGCAUCCUGCUGGUGUGCUGCACAUUUGCAACGACACAGCACAGGUUGCACACGUACAUCCGAUCCCUGCGUGCACGAUCCAUCCGCCCUUCUCCAGCACGUCGAUAUAUGGUCGGUACGCGUUGCCACGUGGGUGAAAACGAGACACAAUUGGCAUUUCAAGGGUGGCUGGUUAGGGUGUUAAAAUUUAAUAUGUAGUGUAAUAUUUUCGUCUUUUUAGUAAAUUAGUAUCCAAUCAUAGAUUAAUUAGACUUAAAAGAUUUGUCUUAUAAAUUAUUCUCUAUAACUGUGUUUUUAGUUUUAUAAAUAGUUUAUAUUUAGUAUUUUAUGUAUGUAUUUAAACAUUUAAUGUGACAGAAAUUAAACUUUAACUACGUCAACCAAAUAGGGCCUUAGGGCAUGUACAACCCAUAGAUGGAAGUCUGUCACUAAGUGCCUUGAAUCCAGCAUGUAGACAGAUAUAAAGACAGGUCGUACAACCCACAGACAGAGAUCCAUCUCUAUGUUAUUCAAUGCUUUUAUAUGUAGCUAAGAUCAAGUAUGUAUAUGAUUCAUGUAUGUCAUCGUG